CCCUUUUUGCAAAUGUUAGGACUGGUAAUACAGUGUUUUUUAUGGUGUUUUGUUUAGUGUACAUAUGCCUAGAAAUGUCAGCAGAUAUGACUUAACAUGUUGACUGAAAAUUAAUGGUGCAUGAUGGUUUGACUUCCAUGUAUUUGCUGCACAUGAAAAUCAUUAAAACAAUGGCAGGGAAUCCUGCAUAAAUUUGUUGUCAUCCCUAGUCUAGAACCACAUUAAGGUUUAUCGGCUUUUAUAUGGUAUAUUUUUGUGCUUGGGUGGAGUAAUUAAAAAUAACUUUCUGUUUGCAGAUUGAAAGAUGUUGAGCAGAGGGAAAAAUGUAACUGAGCAGGAGGAGUAAAGCAAAUCCAAUGGAGGAUUGUAUUUUUUAUAUAAAUUGUAACCUUGAUAAAGAUGGACUGGAAGUCAAAUUUAUCAAUCAGUUAAAUGGCAAUGGAGGAGUGUUCACAUCAAUUAAAUUCUGCAAAAGAGAUUUCCUUUUGGAGUAUGUCUUUGAAAGGCUGGCAAAAAGGAAGCUGUGGAAAGGGAAAAAUUCCAUAGACAAGAAUGUGGGGUCCUAGCUGGAUUUUUUUCCCUUUCAGUGGAAAAGCGGAAUGACGACAGCUGCAAUAUGGAGACAAGGCAACAUAUGGCUGCAUCCCAUCAACGUCAGAAAGAAAACCGAGCUUAUCAUCCAACAGACUGAGUUUAUCAUAGAUGGAAGGAAAGUGAAGAAGGGAUUGUCAAGGCUCACUUCAAUGUUAUAUGGGUGACAAUUAAAAAGGAUUCCCAGGAAAGAGAGAAAUCAACGUUUUUCUGAAGGAUAAUCUGUUUGUCUCAUUUCCUGUCAAACCAUCAAGCCAAGGUUAUGAAUGAGAAAUAUAAGCACAGAGUAAAGGUAAAAAUAUAACUUUUUGUAGUUAACCUAGUCACUAGGUUCACAAAGCUUCACUAUACUGGCCUUUCUAAGUUGUACAAAUAAGCUGCGCGUUUUUGGUUAAAAUUUAGAAUUUGCUUGGCUCAUCUGACAUCAUCAUGGCAGUACUUAAGAUUUUCUCGAAGUGUGCGUGUUACUUAAUUUGAACUGCGAUAUCUCGGUAAUUACUCAUCAUAAAUAAAGAGACAAGGUUUUUAAACUCAGGGGUGGAAACUUUAUGAUCUCGUUUAUACCACAGUCUGUUUUUGUUUGUUCUUGUCAUUUAUUUAUCAUUAAAUUCAUUAAUUCAUUAAAAAUUUCAUAAAUUAUAAUGAAUUAAUUAGAUGCUCUCUGCAACAUUGUGAACUGUGGUCUGAUUUCAAUACGUUAUUUCUUUGGUUUGCUGUUUGGAAUGUCAUGUAGUUGCCUAUGCAUGUAUGUAGCAGAAUAAUAUGUAGUCUCAUUCUGUGAUUCUCAGUCACAUUUGAAAUAUCUCUCUGAGCGAAUAUUUUAUUACAUUCAAUCGAGGAAACUGCUUAUUUGACUAGUAAUGUUGAUGAGAUUGAGAAGAAAUGACAGCGUAGUUGUGUGUAGUGAAAAUAGAGACCCAUUGCCACAGUCCAGUCUUUACAUAUAUUUCGCAAUGGCUGGGCACAAUUUUCAAAAAAAAAAACAAGACGAAUAUCAGUCAUCUUCAUUCAAAGGCUUUGUUGAGUUUGAGCUUGUGUAGUGAGGCUUCCAUUUUAACUCUGUUUCCGCAUGAGGUUGUAAGUAAAGGUCGGCCAAGUAAGCAUAAGAUCAUGCUCAUCAUUAUGGAUUUACGGUUUGGUGUCAGCGAACAAAAUUAAAUUGUGUGGCUGGUUGAAAAAUGUUUUGCAAUCAUGUAUAUAGGAGUGUAAUUAAAUUGUAUGUCAAAAUGCUGAGUAGAAUGUGUUAGUUAAUAGCAGAUUGUUGAAUUAGUUGAUGUUUUAGAUGAGAGUCCUGUAACAUAACCAGGUUUAGCUCCACAUAUGGUUCUGUAUUCCACAACAUUACUUGUUCUGUUCGAUUCAUAAUUUUAAUCACUGACUGUACUAAAGUGAAAUAUACAUAGAUGUGGCACAAACACCAUUAAAAAACCUCACGUAUCACAUGAAAAUUACCUUGAAUUGUGAGCAUUUAAGAUAGGAUCACCUUUGUACACACUCCAUGCCCAUGUUUUUGUGAAUCAUGAAAGUGACAAUAAAUGCAGCUAUGUUCAAUAAGA